GACGAACGCUGGCGGCGUGCUUAACACAUGCAAGUCGAACGAAGAGCGAUGGAAGCUUGCUUCUAUCAAUCUUAGUGGCGACCGGGUGAGUAACGCGUAAUCAACCUGCCCUUCAGAGGGGGACAACAGUUGGAAACGACUGCUAAUACCGCAUACGAUCUAACCUCGGCAUCGAGGAUAGAUGAAAGGUGGCCUCUACAUGUAAGCUAUCACUGAAGGAGGGGGUUGCGUCUGAUUAGCUAGUUGGAGGGGUAACGGCCCACCAAGGCGAUGAUCAGUAGCCGGUCUGAGAGGAUGAACGGCCACAUUGGGACUGAGACACGGCCCAGACUCCUACGGGAGGCAGCAGUGGGGAAUCUUCCGCAAUGGACGAAAGUCUGACGGAGCAACGCCGCGUGAGUGAUGACGGCCUUCGGGUUGUAAAGCUCUGUUAAUCGGGACGAAAGGCCUUCUUGCGAAUAGUGAGAAGGAUUGACGGUACCGGAAUAGAAAGCCACGGCUAACUACGUG
rnacentral:rRNA from 1 species